rnacentral:tRNA from 1 species
GGAGGUGUGGCUCAGUGGUAGAGUGUGUGCUUAGCAUGCACGAAGUCCUAGGUUCAAUCCCCAGUAUCUCUG